rnacentral:rRNA from 1 species
CCUACGGGAGGCUGCAGUGGGGAAUAUUGGACAAUGGGGGCAACCCUGAUCCAGCCAUGCCGCGUGUGUGAAGAAGGCCCUCGGGUUGUAAAGCACUUUCAGUGAGGAAGAACGCCUGGUGGUUAAUACCCAUCAGGAAAGACAUCACUCACAGAAGAAGCACCGGCUAACUCCGUGCCAGCAGCCGCGGUAAUACGGAGGGUGCGAGCGUUAAUCGGAAUUACUGGGCGUAAAGCGCGCGUAGGUGGCUUGAUAAGCCGGUUGUGAAAGCCCCGGGCUCAACCUGGGAACGGCAUCCGGAACUGUGAAGCGAGAGGGGAGGAGAGGAAGGUGGAAUUCCCGGGGCAGGGGUGAAAUGCGAAGAGAUCGGGAAGGAUAGCAGGGGCGAAGGCGGCCGUAUGGACUAGCACUGACACUGAGGUUCGAAAGUGUGGGUAGCAAACAGGACCAGAGACCCUAGUAGGC